GGGCCUAUAGCUCAGCUGGUCAGAGCGUCCGCCUGAUAAGCGGGAGGUCAGUGGUUCAAGUCCACUUAGGCCCACCA
rnacentral:tRNA from 1 species